GGUAAGUAAUUAUUUCUCUUCAGGCUUAUUUUUAUAAAUAAUUAUCAUAUCAAUAUGUAGUGAAAUAAGUUUUUUUUAGUAUUCUUCUCUAAUUAUUUCUUCUGCUAAUUUUUAGGUUUCAAUGUUGUGAACCACCACCACCAACAUCAACACCAUUAACAAAAUAUAAAAUUCAGAUCUGUCGGCAUAUACCACCAUGAUCCACCAACAAAAUCCAGAUCCCGCUAUCUACCACCAACAAAUCUACCACCAUGCACCGCCGCCUCUCAAAAUCACGCCAUCAACAGAAUUACUACCACCACCUACGCCUAACGUUAAGGCGUUAACACCACCCAUCACAACACCACCAUAGCCCAAAUCAAAAAAAGAAAAGAAAAGAUGGAAUGAAGUUACCCACCGAAAAAUUUCAUCACCACCAUCACAGCAUCACCCACAAUAAGAUAAACCAGAACACAAUAACAACAAUUUUAACAAGGCAAGAAAAUAAAAUAAAGCAAAAGAAAAUAUAGUAGAUCUGCAUAGUUGUAGAUCUGAAAAAAUUAAUACGCGACACUGACGACGUGAAGGGGCUGAAGCGCCAUCUAAACUACAAAUUGUUAUUAUUGUUACAAGGGCUGGUGGCGUGACCGACUGAUAUGUCGGAGGGACGAUUAAGAGAGGUUUGAUGGAAGUUGUGGUGAAUAUUACGCUUGUCGCCACUUCUUUUGUGGGAAGUUGUCUGUGGUGGUUGGUGGAGGAGAAAUAAAAUUUUUGUGAAGUGGGGAAAGAGGGAGGUUCGAUUUGUUUGUGAAAUUAGAGUGGAAGCUAAUGUUGAGAACAUUGAUGAUGCUAAUGGUGAAGAUGAAGCCAUGUUUUAACUGAUGAUUUCAGCUCCUUCAGUUUUAUGGAUCUCUGCUACAUUUAUAAAUUAAAUAUAAA
rnacentral:lncRNA from 1 species